UCGUCCCUCAGCGACCUCCCCGAGUGUGUCAGUAGGGGUCCGGACGCCGGACAGGAGAGGAAUUGGAUUAGAUGUGAGGGGUAGGGACCCACCACGAGGAAGCUCCCCCAGGCCCCAGGACGGACCGAGAAGAGAAAACCGGGGAUUAGAAAGCAG